UACGGAGGGUGCGAGCGUUGUUCGGAAUCACUGGGCGUAAAGCGCGUGUAGGCGGUCCGGUAAGUCCGCUGUGAAAGUCGGGGGCUCAACCCUCGAAUGCCGGUGGAUACUGUCGGGCUAGAGUGCGGAAGAGGCGAGUGGAAUUCCUGGUGUAGCGGUGAAAUGCGCAGAUAUCAGGAGGAACACCAAUUGCGAAGGCAGCUCGCUGGGACGUUACUGACGCUGAGACGCGAAAGCGUGGGGAGCAAACAGG
rnacentral:rRNA from 1 species